rnacentral:rRNA from 1 species
UAAACGACUCUCGGCAACGGAUAUCUCGGCUCUCGCAUCGAUGAAGAACGUAGCGAAAUGCGAUACUUGGUGUGAAUUGCAAAAUCCCGUGAACCAUCGAGUUUUUGAACGCAAGUUGCGCCCAAAGCCAUUAAGCCGAGGGCACGUCUGCCUGGGCGUCAC